rnacentral:rRNA from 1 species
CCUGCGGAAGGAUCAUUGUCGAAACCUGCCCAGCAGAACGACCAGCGAACAUGUUUAAUCCAUUCGAGCGUCGGCGAGUUGUAGGUAGCCUUGUGCUCCUCUCCUUUAUCGUUCGAGCCUAGGGGGAUGUCAUCGUGGCUUCUUCCUUGGCAAAUAAACGAACCCCGGCGCGAAAAGCGUCAAGGAACAUAACUACAUAUGAGCUCACGCCCGCUGCCCGGUUAGCCGGUGCACGGUUGUGGUGCCAUGUCAUAACAUUAAACGACUCUCGGCAACGGAUAUCUCGGCUCUCGCAUCGAUGAAGAACGUAGCGAAAUGCGAUACUUGGUGUGAAUUGCAGAAUCCCGUGAACCAUCGAGUCUUUGAACGCAAGUUGCGCCCGAGGCUUCUGGCCGAGGGCACGUCUGCCUGGGCGUCACGCAUCGCAACCCCCCACAACCACUUCGUGAGGGAGGAGGAUGGUUUCCCGUGCCUCACCGGGCGCGGUUGGCCUAAAUAAGGAGCCUAAGGCAUCGGGUUGCCGCGGCGAUAGGUGGAGUACAAGGUCUCGGCCGUGGAAUCAACCGGUCGCGCAACCCUUUGAAUGUAGAGCUCGAAGGACCCAUUGUUGUCGCUUUGUUGCGUCACAAACGUUGCGACCCCAGGUCAGGCGGGGCUA